AGCGAACGCUGGCGGCAGGCUUAACACAUGCAAGUCGAGCGGGCACUUUCGGGUGUCAGCGGCGGACGGGUGAGUAACGCGUGGGAACGUGCCCUCUGGUUCGGAAUAACUCAGGGAAACUUGAGCUAAUACCGGAUACGCCCUUUUGGGGAAAGGCUUGCUGCCGGAGGAUCGGCCCGCGUCUGAUUAGCUAGUUGGUGAGGUAACGGCUCACCAAGGCGACGAUCUGUAGCUGGUCUGAGAGGAUGAUCAGCCACACUGGGACUGAGACACGGCCCAGACUCCUACGGGAGGCAGCAGUGGGGAAUAUUGGACAAUGGGCGCAAGCCUGAUCCAGCCAUGCCGCGUGAGUGAUGAAGGCCUUAGGGUUGUAAAGCUCUUUUAUCCGGGACGAUAAUGACGGUACCGGAGGAAUAAGCCCCGGCUAACUUCGUG
rnacentral:rRNA from 1 species